CUUUAAAAAACUAGCAUUUCACAAAAAUAUUAUCUCCCUUUGUAGAACUCUCUAGUUCCGACAGUGAAGGAAGGUAAAAACAAAAGUAUUUGUAAGCAUGACGUUUUGCCGGUUUGGAGUUCCUUUUCACAAACGAUGUGUUUUACUGAUAUUUUUAUACAAAACUGCUUAGAUUAUACAGUAUAGCUUCCUUGGCAGAUGUGAUAUUGUUUAUUCUGAAGACAUUCAACAACUCGUGAGUUUUAGCAAUGGCCAUGUAUUGUCUAAAGUAGGUCGUAUGCCAUGUGUUACACUUGCAAAAUUAUUUAGUAAAUACAGUGAACAUGGUGAACGACUAUCGAAUGUGGACGUUAUUUUAACUUUUCUUCAAAAUAAAAUACAAAGAGGUGAAGAAGGAAGUUUUGUCAAAUUCCAAGUCUUCUAAGUUCACACCUGCAUAUUGAAAAUACCAGAGGAGAUGGACCAAGAAUUCCCCUCCAAACAGAACAUGUGAAAAUUUGAAAGCAGGUCAUUUGAUUGGUCAAGCUGGUGCAACGCUACCAGUGUUAUACACCAUGCAUGUACACCAUGCUGCUGUGUGACCAAGUGAGGGGCAUCACAAGGAAGGGGAAGAUAUUUAGAUCAUUCAUGGAGCCUUCAACAUCGUAUUAAAACCAAAUUAUAAAGAGAACUCAAGAAGCCAGAGUUUUACAUUUAGUCAUGACCAGUCAUGACAUUCAGCAAAUGAAUGAGUAUCUGAUGAAAAUUAGUGAGAGUUUUCAGAGAAUGGGAGAUACCGUCGGGACACCUUCACUAAGCCUGCUAAAUUAUACUACAACAAUAUAAUGACAAACAUUGCUGUUAUUCCCAAAGAACAUCAAAGAAAUAGUGAAGUCUUACAGUAUCUGAAGAAAAUCCUAGUCUUGCCUAGUAUUAUACCUGAGGGAAGUUUUGACCACUUAUCCUGAAGUUAUUCAUGCAUAAUAACAUGGGUCCACUAUGCACUACUAUGAAUAUGCUUCAAAUAAUUAAAAGAAAAAGAAUUUAAUAAUGUACAUUCUUAAAUAAA